rnacentral:rRNA from 1 species
UAACGCGUGAGCAACCUGCCCUUCGGAGGGGGAUAGUGUCUGGAAACGGACAGUAAUACCGCAUAACGUAUUUUUACCGCAUGAUAGAAAUACCAAAACUGAGGUGCCGAAGGAUGGGCUCGCGUUGGAUUAGAUAGUUGGUGGGGUAACGGCCUACCAAGUCAACGAUCCAUAGCCGGACUGAGAGGUUGAACGGCCACAUUGGGACUGAGACACGGCCCAGACUCCUACGGGAGGCAGCAGUGGGGAAUAUUGCACAAUGGGGGAAACCCUGAUGCAGCAACGCCGCGUGAAGGAAGACGGUUUUCGGAUUGUAAACUUCUGUUCUUAGUGAAGAAAAAUGACGGUAGCUAAGGAGCAAGCCACGGCUAACUACGUGCCAGCAGCCGCGGUAAUACGUAGGUGGCAAGCGUUGUCCGGAAUUACUGGGUGUAAAGGGGGCGCAGGCGGGAAGCCAAGUCAGCUGUGAAAACUACGGGCUUAACUUGUAGACUGCAGUUGAAACUGGUUUUCUUGAGUGAAGUAGAGGUUGGCGGAAUUCCGAGUGUAGCGGUGAAAUGCGUAGAUAUUCGGAGGAACACCGGUGGCGAAGGCGGCCAACUGGGCUUUAACUGACGCUGAGGCUCGAAAGUGUGGGGAGCAAACAGGAUUAGAUACCCUGGUAGUCCACACUGUAAACGAUGAUAACUAGGUGUGGGGGG